rnacentral:sRNA from 1 species
CAUCGGCAAUUAACGCCGAGUUCGGUCAAGGCUCGUCCCCCGCCUAACCGGACACUGCGGCAGCCUCAUCCCCCUCUCCGGGCUGCCGCAUCGUUUCGAGUAAGGCCGCCGUGGUUUCCCCUCCACCACGGCGGCACUUU